AGAAACCUAAAAAAAAAAUGUAAAAAAACCCCAAAACAAAACAACAACAAAAAAAGCAGAAUGUAAAUCAUCACAAACUGAUUGGGAACAGAGCAGCAAGUCUAACAUUCACAGAGAGUAUACACCCGUUCACACACAUUCCCAAAACCACACAAACACGUGGUGAUCCAAGCACACCCUUAAAAACACAAACGACUAAAAACUAUAAGAAGCACAACAAUAAUAACACUAAUAGCAGAAAAAAAAGCUAAAUCACAACCGAAAGUAAGAAGAAAACAUCCCCUUGUUCUCUCCUAGUUACGCACUCAUAACCCGUUGUCCAGUCCCCAUUUUCCGGGGUACAAAAACCUCAAAUCGGCUUUAAAAAAAAAGGUACGGCAAGAGAGAAAUGGCAAAAGGUUGAAUGCGGUAAGAUGUGGAUGAGGAGGAGUCGCAGCGCAGGGCUGGCUACAGAGAAAGUGGAAUUUCUGACCAAGCAAAGGAAAGGGUGGUGUUUUCUUUUUUUUUUUUUGGUGCUUCAUUCUGCUUGGCUUUUUUGGAUCCCAGCAGGAUCCUUGGCUGCUGCUCUGUCUCUUCUUAGUGCUGCCAAAAUAUGGACAUAUCCCUUUGUCUUGAACUCUGUUACAUAAAAAAAAAUCAAAUUGAGAGAUGAGAAAACAUGACUUUAAAAAAGAAAAGAGGGAAUGGACCGGCCACCAAAACUACAGCGCAAGUUAUUAAAGAAAAGGAAACAGCAUGAGUGAAAAGUGCACAGCAAGGAGGAGAGAGGCUUAGCAGCUGAAUUCAAGGGAAACAAAAAAAAAAGGAAAAAUUCAUUAAAAAAUAAAAAGUCGAGAUGGAAGGGUUUUGUUUUCGCGUCAGAAUUUUUUCUCUGCAAACAUAAUAUCUCCCAAAGUGCAAGCUGCAAAGUGUGUCUUCUCUGCUGCUACAAACACAGCAGCCGAAACCUUUCUAAAGCUAUGCCACGUAGUGAGAGAGGGAGAGAGAAAGCAGCCACUUUUUGCUCUCUCCAAAAUGGCUGAGGGCCGGGAGAAAGCAGCUAUGAGCAGAGAGGAAGAGAGGUGCUCCCCGUCCUGCACAGGGGUGGGCUGGGCGAUUCAGCGAGCAUCUCUCCCUCGUUUCCCUCUCCUCGCUCGUGCCCUUUGUCCCGUUAGCCGUCUUUCAGACCGGACGAAUGGCGUACAGCUGUGUUGUCCGUCCAUAGGAAACUCUUUUCGGGCCACCGUGGGGAGGGGAAAGCUACAACUGUAAAUGAGUGAGGUUCAUGUGGUUUACUGUUCGUCGUGCACAUGCUCGAAUCCUGAUGCUCUGCAAGUUGUUGUUGUUUUUUUUUUUGCUGUUUUAAAAAAAUGCUCUCGGAUGCCUCACAGGACAGGUGACUUUUGCUCAACCACUAUAUAAUUUCUAUUUUAAAAAUAUGUACAUAUCAAUAAUGGAUAUUUUACUAUAUUAUAUAAAUUCAGUGUUUUUAAAAACAAAAUCUAAUCUUAUGCUAUAUUCUCACUUUUAUUGUCUUGAAUCCCAAAUUUCAAAUAAAAACAUCACUGAUUAUCUUGAACAGUCUCCUCUCGUGACUAUUUGAACUCAGGCUCAGCGCCACUCUUGACGUCACAACGGUACAGUAGUUAAACAGCAUGGCUGCUGCAGUCAGUAGUACUACAUUUACAUUUGUGUAUUUCUAGUGGAGUAUCCGAAGGCUGUUUGCAGUCACGAUGCAUAAAAAGCACUACCUAUCUGAUACAAAGCCAAAAUUCUACUAGAAACAUUCAAAAGGGCAAGGAAUUUUAUUUUCCAGACAUCAUAUUUAAUAACCAAAUUAUUAAAGAUGCUGCAGUUAUUUUAGUGAAGCCAUCUGAAAAUUUUCCAGGUUAAAUCUAUACACUUGUUUUUGAUCACUCUCAGUCUCAGCAGAUGUGCGUCUACAUUGGUUUUACACAAAUCACUAAUCAUAUCCAUAAUAUACCCAACAUAAAUCCGAGGAACUGACCUCCCAGUGAGGUCAUCUUCACCAGCACUGGAAGAACCAUUUCAGAUUUUAAAAUGGCUGCCUCACAUUCUUGCUCACUGGAAGCGUGUUCAGUGAAGCUCAUACCAAUAAGCAACCACCCAACCAAAGUUUCCUAAAGCAAGAGAUUAGAAAAACAACAAGAUGCUGCUGUAUCUGACCCUGACCUCUGCAGAAUAAGCUAAUUUAAAAGCAAAAUUUAAUCUGGUAAAAACUGCACAGAAAGCCUGAGUAUGCGGCAUACUUAAAAAUAAAACUAACACACACACACACACACAUACGGAUCCCCUCCAUGCAUAUCAGCUUGUUAGUGUUAUGAAAAAGGACAAAUGUUGGGUUCAGGAUAUUAACUGCCCUGGAUACUAGUUUUGCCACAGCAUGCCAAUGGGCUGCUGUCUGCUUCAUGGUCACCACUUGAAUCUAAAUGAACAGAUUUGACUUUCAGGAUAUUGCCAAGAACCCUGUCACAGUGCCGACACAGAGAAGGGCCUCUCCAAAAACAGAAGGUUGGAGAAAACAGAGCGAGCGACAUGGGCAUAACCCCAAACCUCUAACAAGGUAACCCCUUAAAGCCACUCUCAGAGCCUGGGAAAGUGGGGAAGAGAAAGAGGGCUGCCAACAAUAGGCAAAAAAUCAUUACCAACAUUUUUCAUAUGGUAACAUUAUGUCAGUGAAUGCAGUGACAAGUGCGCUGCAUAAUCCAGGUCUUAGACACAUAGAUUAAAACUGGAUUUCAUUGUUUUAAUUAGAUUUUGUGACCUUUUAACUGACUCCUUAUAAUACGCCCCCUUAUUAUUGUCCUGCUGCACCGGUCUGUCGGUAGCCUCUUUGGAUGCUGUACAUCCAACCAACUUGUAUUUUCCACCUCAGGAAUGAGGUUUUUAUUAAAACAUAAUGACCUUUUUAAAUACUUUACUAUAAUGGCAUGCUAGCUAUAGUUCUUGAUAUCCACUGGGCUUAAAACACCAUUCAGCAUUAUAAUUGGGGUGUUAAAACUGAACCUGUAGGAUUAUUGAAUCAAAACUUCACACUGGUUUUCUUUUCUGCACUUUUACUCCAUUGUGCAUUUUUUAAUACAGGCCCUUAACACGCUGCUGGAGUUUAAUCUCAUUACAAGCUUAAAGUAUGUAAAACACCUUAAAAUGCAUUAAUAUUUACACAUCACAGGGGGUAUUUAUUACUCAGAUCUCUUACAACACUCAGGAUCAUGAUGCACUGUUUAAACUGUUAUUGCAUCCAUGUUGUAAAGCCACAGCAUUUUUAAGAUAAGCUGAAAUAUUUUUAUUUGGAAAGAAUGUGCUGAUAAGAACACUGAAACCUGAACAAUACCACUGCUACCUUUGAAUUCAUUACAUCAGUGGACUAAAAUGUAAACAUGAAACUAAUCAGGCCUUAAUAUAUUAUUUAUAAUAUGUUUAACCCAUUCAAAUGUUUAAAGGGACAGAAUUAUAUACUGUGUAUUAUUCAAAUAUUGAUAUGUGGAAGAUUACAGGAAAGGCAACAUCAAUAGUUCACUCUCACUUCUUUUAUUACUUCAUUGGUAAAUGUCUAAUCAUGUUAAGGCUAUGAUUCACAGUUGAGUCAUAGCUGCGUCUGUGACGCGGAAGUUUCUACAAGAACCUAUAUAUCACCCUAAGUCACUCCUGUUACUGGCACUAAGUGACUUCUUGGCAGCUAGUGCUUCCCACAGUAAAAGGAUGGUCCAGUGAUGUCAGCCAUGAUUCUUGUCUUGUCUAAUAGCAUUAUACAUAAUAACGAUCCUUUCAUGAGUACCUAAAAAAUAAAAAAUGGGUGAUUUUAAUUUUUGGAUAUAGCAGUCAAAAUAUAAAAUAACCGCCCACUCCGAAUGUAUUUUCUCAUGAACUUCCACAGACUUGCAGUAACACUUGUGAAAUCCACCAGGGUUUAGGGUUCAGGCUGAGAUUUUAGGUCAAAUCUAUAUAUAAAAGUGAAAUAAAAACAAUGUUGUGUAGGAUUUGUAAUUUGGUUUGGUAUAAUCUUGUUAAAUAAUGUUACAGAACAUAAUAAGCUUACUCAAGUACAUACAUUCAUGCAAAUAUCAUGUGUCUUUUUUUGGAAAAUUAUUGCUGGUUGAGUCAAAUAAAAGCAGAUAAGGGCAUUGGAUACACAAAAGCAAGUUAAUAAAAGUUAAUAAAAUAGCUUAAUGAUUAAAGAUGUGCAGACGAUUAAAGAAUUCGUCAUAAUUUUCAUAAAUAAAGUGUUUUAUAUGACAGUUUGUCGACAUUUGCUUCACUUAGUACCCACAAAAAUUAACUGUUCGUUCUCUGCUUUUCUGCGUGUAUUCUUAUUUUUUUUUUAUUUUUUGACUUUAACAUAUUUAGCAAUAACUCUCUACUUAACAUCACUAGGAUGCAUAUUUCAGGUGUCCGUGAGGACGGCCUUCAUGGAGAAUUCAUCCCCAUAAUCAACCCAGUGCAGCAGGAUGAAUGUGGAAAAGACGCACUCAUGCAGGAGAGAGCAGGAUAAAGAACCAGUGGGAUACAUGAGACAGCAGCAACAUAUAUUUUUUUUUACUAUAUUUUUUCAUUCACACUUGUACAUCUUUGCUUCUGAAUGUUGCAGUCCAAUUUUUAUAUCUUUUCCCCCUUUCAUCUCACCCAUUUCUUUCAAUUGCUUGUCCCUCACUGUUCCCUCCUCUCGCUUCCCCCAUCAAAUAUUCUGCUCACGCACAACUGCGGCACCCUUUCUCCAGUCCUCCCCAUUAAUCCACACCACAGACAUCUUGGCCCACUGUCUCGUCUCUCUGUCAAUGUGCACUCAAAAGUCUCAAAGUCUGGGCCAUUUCAGCGGAGAGUGCCUGGCCGUUUUUCGCAGGCUAUGAGGCCUACUGUUGAGCAUGCUUUUCUACUGUACAGGGUGUACCGUGCAGAUAGGACAUCAAGCGCUCCCCCUCUCUAAAUAUGCUAGAAAAUGAAGACGACAUCCCAGUGAAAGCGCAGGUCAUAUCAGGACAGGCGGCAACACAAAUAUAGCAUCUAUUUACUUUCAUCACCACAUAAAAAGUAGUGGCUUGUUGCAGAAAUGCUGGUGAUAUGUGGCUUGCUCUGCCCUGUUUCAGCCAGGUUUGGCCAGUUUCUAACACACUGAAGAUGUAAGCUUUAGUGCAGAAAACUCAAUUGUUGUCACUGGAAACAAGUUUAUAAAGAGUUUCGGAUUGGUGAUGGACUCUGCAAAUGUUCCUUCAUUUGUUUGACAUUAUUGCCUUCAUAGUGCGAAUCAUUCAAAAACAAAAACAAAAAGUUGUUUAAUUUGCACUUUGUUUUUCACUUAACACAUUUAAAUCAAUGCAGAUUAUAAACUAAGAGCCUUUGAAAUGUGACAUUUUCACAUUCAGUGUUAUAAUUAUUUUAAUAAAAGGUUUUGGCAGAUCUUCAGUUGGGGUAAUCGUGGUUGUACACCAGUGUUUCACCAUUGUAUACGUCAGCCAAAGCAGAACUGAAAAACUACCCAAUGUGGCACACUGCUUCUUGAAGAUGAUGUGCAGGAAGAGAUACAAAAAAAGAGCAAGCACAAUGACAUAGCAGGGGUAAAGGCUGUAGGAAGAAGAAAAAGAUGUAAUUACUCUAUUAAUUACUUAAUUUCUAUUCAUCUGAAGGAUCCACUGACUUGAACUAAUCACUUUAAGAAAGCAGCCAAAUGCUCAAUAUUAACACAUCUUCUGUGACAGGAAGAAGAGUGUGGGGGUCUGUGAGGGGGGGUGAAGAAAUGCAAAGAUUUACAGGGAAAUUAAAGAAAGAAAUGCUUUUAGACCCGCAAAAGGAAGGAAGCAGCUUAACGUGGACAACAUCAAGGAUAAAAACUCAUGGAGUCUAAUUUCUUUUUUGCUACGUGGAGUGCACUUGUUCUUCCCUUAAAAGUCUACUUUUCACUGGCAGCGCACUGAAGCAAAAUGAAGACGGAUAGAAACAGCAUUUUGAGAUAUUCCAGAGUAUAAAAACCCUGGCUGGAUAUUGAGUUUACCCCCUCCAUCCUCCUUUUUUUCAAAAAUAAGGGCUCAAGUUAGAUUUUACAGCGGAGCUUAGAAAUAGUACACAGCCCCUCAUCAGCCACCCUCCUCUUUUGCCGUUUCUUUCUUUCUCUCACCCUCCACUCCUGCCGUUUCAGACCCUCAUUUCCCUGCCCUCCUUCCCCCCCUCCUCUCUCUCUCUCAUUCAUUCAGUUUAAUUUUGAACUCUGCACUGGGAGACAGGCAAAGAGGGUAGCUCCAUGGUUACCUGGCACCAGGCCAUCUCAUUACACUGCCAAUUGAUUCUGGCCUGCCGCCAUGUCCGCUGCCUACCUCCCCCACGCCCCGCACCAUUUCUGCACCCCAGACUGUCUGCAGCAAAAGGAGAUUUCUGAACACACAGGACAGAACGAGACAAACAGCUUCACUUACGCACAUCAAACUUAACUCGCAUGCAUGCACCACUGCACGCACGGAUACAAAUAAAUGCAUACCUGCUCACACACACAGCAAACUAAAGAUGGGAAAAUACAUGUGCGCAUAUUUAAAUAUUCAUAUAUUGGCCUCCACACAGUGUACAAUCAGAGUGGCUAUCAGAAAAAAAUAAAGUCAUAAUCUCAUUACUUAGAUUUUUAAAUCCAUGUGACUAAAAACUAAACAUGAAUCUUUAUUUAAUCAUAGACAGAAUCCUCUUUCUAAAUUCUGGUGUUCGCAGAUAGAAAGACUUGAACUGCGAGGAGUAAAAUCUAAAUUCACAAAACAUUUAACUGUCAGGAGUGAUACCGCAAUUUAUAACAAUAAAUAAUUGCAACUUUGGGAAAAAAAUUAGUGCAGCACAGAUGUUAAAAACCAAAGAACUUAUUUAGGAAAAUAAAGUCUUCAAACCUGGUUAACUGGAGAAAGUGUUGUCUGACACACUGGGGUGGUUGAAUUCGCCCUGGCUGCAAUGACUUGGAAGUAUUUCUGACAUUUUUGUGUUCAGUGCAGUCAAUGGAAAGCUAGAGUAAACCUCUUCUUAAAAAGCAAGCAUUUGUAUUUAGGUUUAUACCGUAACCAUAGCAAAAUCCAAUGAGUAACAUUAACAUUUUAUACAGCUAAUGAAGUGUGUCUGUUUAAAUCUUGUCAGUCAGACAUUUGAUUUGUUUGUCUCUGCUACUUCUAUUUUUUUACAUGAUCGUUAGUGUUGCUAGAUCUCAUAUCUCACUGGAUAUCCAUUUGCAUCUUAUAAUUUGAAGAAUUUUUUCAGGAACCAUGUUUCCUGCUUAAUGCGAUACUAGUUUCCCCAAUCCUGAAUAAUCCAACAAGUUAGACACAUAUAUUUUAAAAACACAAGCAUGGGAAUCCAAUAAAAAGUCCUGUAUGGGUGUGUAAAAGCCUUCAUUUAUGUUUAGUAAUCGCCUCAAAUGUUUUGUAUUUUUACGACUUUAAACAGCACCUUUUAAAUGCUUGUUGCUAAAUUUGAGUGUGAUGCUUGUUUGCUUGGCUACUUCCAUCUGAGACGUAUACAGUAUCAACUUGAACACUGCUGCAAAAAAGACAAAGUCUUCCACAAAGAUUGCAUCUGAAAUCAGCUUUACCUCCGCAACACAUACCAGCAGGAGUACAGAGUGACUGACCAGGCGUUCUCUCAGGCAUCUCUAAGUGCUUUGUUCAUCUGAAGGACAGAAUUUCAACACGAGUUUAAGGUCUAACACAACUAUUGCUGUCUUUUAAAUAGUAUCCCUUUUUAGGACAUACUCAAAAAAUACUGUAAAAUAUCACUGAGGAACGUCUCAGACGACCACAUUUUACAGCAGUUUUAGACCAAACAGAAACCUUAUAGGGUGAUCCAAAUAUGUAAAGCAGCUGCUUCGCAUAAUUUAGUGUAGUUUGGAGCCAAAGAAGUCAGGAUCGAUGUUUAACGAUUCAUCUUGCCCUGUGAGAGUUUCAGUAGCAGUGAGCGUGCUGGCAGUUUCACUGCUGAGACUUUGUCAUACGCAGCAUCUGUCUAGGUGUGACUCAGUCAUAGCUUCCUGCUUCUUCUGCUACGGCUGGCAGAUGCCAGGGUCAUGGCUUCUAGCUCAUCAGGGAUUUGAGGGGAUGAGGAGUCACUGGGAUCAUAGAGCCAUAUGACAGUGUGUCUACUGUGCCUUCAGUAUACUCAUAUUUAAUAGCCAUCCAUUCAUGCCCUAGUUUAUAAUGUAAAAGAGUGAUUGUGCCUGUUUUGUAUUGUAGAACAGUUCAUCUGAAGUUGCCCAUCAUUGUUGGAUAGGUGAUUUGUAACUGUGGUUUCUGGCUUUCCUGGUUUUACAGCUACACCCAGUAUAAAUAGCUACAUCUCUAAACACGGGGUGUAGCUAUAGCAGUUUAAGACAGCUCAGGCAGACAGCAUCCUACACCACUUACUGCAUCACACCCUUUCUCAAAUGUUCCACCCCCGCUUUAGCUGCCCAACUUAGGAUUUUACAAGGCAUACCUACACCCAACAUCCACCUGUAGGUUCUGUAUACACAGAAACUGAAGUCACAUCAUGUAUGCUUCAUCUACAGAUUUUAGAAGUUAUCAAAGCACCAUCCAUAACAGGAAGAUUAAAUAUCAUUAAAUGCAUUGAGUUAAUUAUACCUUCCAAUAUAACUAGGUAUAUUUUUAGUCAUCUUUAUGCAUCUUUAUAACUACUGUGAGUUUUACUGCCAUAUCCUGAUUAAUUUAUCAACUAUUAUUACUAUUUCUCACUAAAGUGUAAUCAAAUCAGUGCAAGUAGACCCUAAAACAUCUGCACAAAUCGAACGGUGUUCCAUUCAUUAUAGUAGGUUUACGCAUUUAGUUGUCAACAGAAUCAUUCAAAAACAGCUUAUUGUUAAUGCCAGCACAUUCAUUUAACCAGCCUGUAAUCAAACUUUUAAGGUGUGCAUAUUGCAAGUCUUAUUUUUGUGCCAGUGCUGUGACCUUGGUGAUUUUUUUUUUAUUCCAGUUUUCAGCAGUUUGGUGAAUUCAUGGCUCAGAGACAAUUCUUGUCUCAGUAAGGAAUUCUAAUGGCGAGGAAUUCUAACAAACCAGAUGCUCUGUCCAACUCACGGGAAAAUAUUUUAACAAGGUCUAACGGGAAGUAUCCUUGUUACUUUAUGCUUUCACAGCCGUAACUGGCAAAAUCUUAUCUUCCACGUUACUACCACGCCCCCACAAAUUCUUAACUGAUGACAAACUGAGCAAUAUACUUUUGUAAACAAUACAUUUCAGGAAAGCCUCAAAAAAUACAAAUUUUUAAUUCAUAAUCUGCUGCUUUUGUUGCAUAUCAAUGCACUCAUGAUUAAUUUAACUUCAAAUAUCUAAUAUCAUCUGUCUUCUGGCCAUUUCUUGGCUGCUGUCCACUCACAAUUUGUGUGACUAUGCACCUUCGGGACAGGGCCAUCAAUUUCAUGGUAGCAGGUGCCACCCACCCAUCCAUUCUAACACUGAUAAGGGCUCCACGUUUGCAAGCAGGAGGAGAGCUACAGCUCAAUAUGAGAUAAAUGUAUUUAAGAAAUACGUAAUGUAUCUCAAAGAAAAUUGCACCUGAUUUCUUUAAAAAUGCAAAUUCGAUAUAAAAGUCAUGAUGCACGAGAGCCCUUCAAUUGAGAUUUCCAUGGGGAACGUAAAAGUUGUUAUAAAGCAUCACAAACGCCUUGUGAAUACUGGACUGUAGGGGUUCUUUCUUAAACUGUCCAAAAAGGAAAACAAAAAAUAUUUGUAUAUUCCAGAUAUUAACAUGAAAAGAUCUAUGGAAGAAAAACAUCUCUCUUCAGGAUGUAUAUUUUUAUGUCUUUUCUAAAUGAUUCCUAUCAGUUGCUAAGCAGUCUGUAUUAUAUUGUUUUACCACAUCUGUUCUACCAGAUAAUACUGUUAUUGAUGACUGUGGUAAUUAGACUGUGUGAUGACUGUAGCCAGAAAUAAAUAAAGAGAAGCCAGUAUAAAGACUUUCCAGUGUGAGUCUGUCUCUUCGAAAAGUAAGGAUUAGAGAUGGGCCUCCCUACUUCGGGGCCCCUUUCCUGUACAUGCACACGGGUUGUUUAAGGACACAGUGAACCAGGCUACCCGAUCUAGGGAAGGGGCCAGGGCAGGGGGAGCAGUGACGGGACGGCCAAGUGGAAUAAACUUUCAUGGAAUCCUAAGAGCUCAAGCUGCUGGCUUAAUGCUAGUGGGAGUAGAGAGGACUGGGAGAGGGAGAGGAUUGGCUGAUGUAAAAAGAAAGGGAGGAGCCACUUCCUCAGAAGGGAGAGAGAGAUUUAUGGAGUCCGACGGCAGCAGGGAGAGAAAGAAAAGGACAAAGGUGCCGAUGAAUAUGGGGUUAGCAAGUGGUUUCCAGUGUAACAGUUAUUUAAAGUAAAGGUACAGUAAAGAUGAGAGGCACUACAAAGCAUCUCGGGUUUAACCCUUAGGAAAUCUGAAACACAAUAUUCAAAAAAGACAGGCAUCCAUUUAGAUUUUUCCCAAACAAAACUCCAGGCUGUAGCUCAGAGCAGAAAAUAUUUGGGUUGGUCCACUUAUAGAUGGUAACCGAUCACACCUGCAUUCCUGGGAGAAGGGAGCUGCCAACAGACAUUCUCCUGUUGCCCCCCUCGCACCCCUUCUCCAAUUUUCUCUCCCCUUGUUACCUUGUCUCCCUCUUCUGCGUUCCUCUCCUUCUGUUGCUCCCCUUUCUAUAUGAGUGUGUCUGGGUCCGGCUGGAGAGGCUUUGUCUGUGAACAUUGGAGCCCUGACUGGCCCACGGGGGCCCGAUCCAUGAAUACCCACACUGUGAGAGCCACUCUUUCACUUCACACCACUUUCUCUACUGGAAUGCCUGAGCAGUGAGUGUUCUCUGAUUGGCUGAAUACAUGUGUCAAGUCACUUCAGUGCUGUCAGAAUGAGGACUGUUAUUGGCUGGUAGUCCAAUCCCCACUCCAUCCAUCUCCUCGGGCCAAGGCGUAGAUCAGUAGGCAAGCAGAUAAGUGCGUCAGGUGGGGCUGCAGCCGCUGCACUCCUGAGGAGGAGAAGGAGGCACUCCGGGCCACGCCAGGAACGAAGGAAUAAAAGGAGGACCAAGUACAUUUAACCAAAGAACAAGGCAGCCUGAAACCGGAGCUUGAUGUCCUGACGGCUGGGAUGGCAAAGAAAAGAGCCGCUUGUCUUUCUGUGUGUGUCCGUUCAUGUACGUGUAUAUGUAUAUGUAUAUGUGAACAGGCUGCGGUGUUGGGUGAAAGAGGUGUGUUUUUUCCACCCUGAGGGGCCUCAGACUAGGGCUGGGCGAGGCGGAGCUCUGGGGAGGCGCAGCGUGGGGAGGGCUGCUUUAACUGAACUCAGUGCACUGUAACAGCAGUCGGGGCGGGAGGUCACAGAGUCCAGCAUUCCUCUAGAGCGUUGUCUGUUUACAUGACCGCCGCUGCCUGGGGGAGGUGGCAGCUCUGCAUAACUAUAACAUCAUAUAACUCUCAUCGCUUGCCUAUAUGUCCAUCAUCUAGCAGAGAGAUAAGAAUGCCUUAUUCAGUGUUCCUAAUGUUGAAAUCUGUUCAGGCUUGAGACUUCAGUCAGCCACUUCAUUCUGAGUGUACAAAAAUGUCUCCAGUCACAAUGGCUUCAAAGCACACUCAAACCUUUGUUUGUGCAGUCAUGGAGGCACAGUAAUAUGCUUUCUUCUCUCUAUUUUGCAUUACAGACAGAUAUACUUCAACAAGCGACAUUACUGCAUGUAGUUAGAAUGACCUGUGAGUUAGACACAAUAUGCAGUACCUGUACUGCAUGCCAGCGACUUAUAGAGCUGAACAAUUGUUAACAUGUUUAACAGAUAAUGCUGCAAUGCCUUGUGGAUACUUGAGAAUCCAGAGCAUGAAACACAUUUGAGCUUAGCCAUCUGCAUUUUAUUAAAAUUUGACUGACUUGUGUUUCCUCAGGCAAUUGCACAAUCCCUACAGUCUUUGCUAACUGGGACUGAUUUUAAUUGUAGUUCAUUGCUUAAAAAAGACUAUAAUUCACAUUUUUGUCAUGCUGAGAAAGCAAAUUCUGCAUAUUUUCUGUAUAGGAAUAUUACACUGUGGUUAGUGCACCACAGGGCAUGGAAAAAAAAUUUGUGUGAAAAUGUGAAAAGCAUUGCAGAGCAGGAUUAAGGGGCCAAAGAUGAGAUUAUGUCAGGUGGGUCAAAGGACCAGCUCAGCCUACUCUCAAGUGGCUGAACUUAUCAGGUUAUUUACGUGGAACAACUUCGACUUGGUUGGCUUGAGUUGCUGCUGGCCUCUCUGAAGAGCUAAUGCGGGCUAAACUUUGACUGUAGCUCCUCUGUGCUGCUGCUUUUCACAACCCAGAGCCUAGAAGCCAGCUGGUCAGCUCCAGGGGAGCACAACAGAGAUGGGGAGUGACAUCCAAGCCCUAGAGAGACAGUGCUCUGACUGUACUGUGGACUAGGGAGGGGGAGCAUGGCUGUCAAAGGCACCAUUGUUUGACAGGCCUGCAUGGUUUCACGUGCAGCACAUGAUUCUCACUGAGGGUCUGAACUAUAGCCCAGUUCGAUCUAAACUGUCCGGGAGGAUGUAGUUGUGGCCUCCCGGGCAGGUUAAAGUGUAACUGUGUCCGUGUUUUCUCAGGAAAGUGUGUUUACCUAGAGGACCAACAUGGAGGCCCUUUUGUUUAACUAAGUAGCGAGGCUCGCCCUAAAAGUAAAGCUCUCUGAAAUACACAGGAACCAGGAGGCCCUUCGGUGUUCCACUAACUGGUUGGUAGGAAGUAUUUUCUUGACUGUGUGUACUCAAAUGUUUGUUUGCACGUAUGGGGAAAAAAAUGAAGUCACAUGCACAGACAAUUACAUGUCAAACAAAUCUAUAAAGUAUACAAAGGAGUACAAGCUGAGAUUUUUUUUCAUCCAGAUGAAUCCAAACAGCCCACAGUGAAAGGGUACACAAUUCAGAGGUACCAGUCUCAUUUAGAGACCAGAGCAGCUGCAGCCAAUUAAAUGCAAAUAAUCAGGCAGGCUUAGAAAGAGGAUAUUCGGGCAUUUUUAAACACUUGGGCUCAUUCUUAAUAACUUGUAGCCACUCAAAUAUUGGGUCCAAACAACUUUGCACUUGGUACCAAACUAAUCAAACCACUUGGGUAGGCUGUGUGAUAAUGCUGACUUAGCAGGAGAUAUGGAGAAAAAAAUAUAGGUAGAUAAGACAUGAAAGCGAAAAAAAAAAUGUGAUAAAUACCUCUAAAUAACCAGUCUUUUAAUCUGAGAGCUUCAAACAACAAAUUCAAGCAAAAAAUAAAUUAAAUUAAAAAAAAUUAUGCAAACCCAACAUCAUCAAUUGAGUACAUUCCUCGCAAGACAUAGUAUACAGCUGACACAAAUGAAGUUGUACUGCACUGCUCAACAGUUUUGCGUACAUAAGACAUUUUAUCAUAUGAGACCAUUUAUGGCACUUAGAGCAUAAUUUAAGGGAAAUAACUGGUGAAAAUGCUACUUAUGAUUUCAAACCAAAACAGCACACCCUCCCACGGACCAGGUAAGCUGUGCAGUAUGCGUUGCCAUGUCUUUAGGCUCAACAUAGCUCACUGACUCAUUAACCUCACUUCAUAGUACACCUCUCUGAUUUAAUGUUUACCAUGUUCACACUGCAGCUGAAAGUGAUGGAGAGAUCAUCGGUUAGCAGACGUUUUGAUACAGACGUUUUGAGAUAACAUGUAUUAAAACUGAUCCUCAGAGAGUGUCGAAUUAUCCACGUAUCAAAAUUUAUGACAAACCAAGUAUUUCACGAGAUAUUUAGCUACAUAGUCACCAAGCCAUUAGUGAUGAACCUCUGGGCCAACACACGUACACAUUUUCAUAUCAAUCCAUCCAACAGAUGUUGAGAGGGUGGACCAACUCUGUAAACUCAUUUACAAAUGUUUAUUUUGUAACCUUUAAGUGGUCCGACUGUUUUUUAGUCAUCGAUCCAGCUGUUAACAAUAAAACUGCUAACACAGCACAUUAAUGUCUCAACAGGUAUGUCCGAGCACAAGUAUGUUUACUUUGUUUCUCUCUGCCCCUACCAGGGAUCAGCAUGCCGACUGCUGUCAAACACAAACAACAAGCCACUCCAAUGAUGGAGGAGGGAAAAAAAUCUCACAUAUCCUUGAAAUACUUUUCUUCCUUUCAACAAAUAAAUAAAGUGCGAAAAGUGGAUAAGUGGUGGUGUGAAAACAUGCUUUUUGGUGAGUGGGACAUUAAAAAAAAAUGGUUUUAACUUAUUCAGUACAAAUUAUUAUCCUGUCCCUGAAACUGUAGAAAACAUUUGUCGUGAAUUUAUUAAAGAUUCUUUCUGGCCACCAGAACAAAAAGGACAAAGAGCUUUAAUUUUAGAAGUAGACAUGAUUUAUUUUGAAUUAAAAAAUAAAUAAAUUGAUAACACUUAGAGGAAAUACAAAAGGUAAUAAUACCUGUUUUGCCUUUUUAGUUUUCAAUUUUAGUUUCUGAAAUAAUGUUAAGUUACUUCAAAGUACUAUUAUUAUCUCUUUAAUGAAACUAAAGGCAGUGUCUCCGGCUCCGUUUAAAAUAAUAUUCCACCAAUCAGUCGAUGCAUCUUAAUCUAACUAAAAGCUUUUUAAUGCUGCACAAACCACCCUUUGGUUGUCAAGCAAAAAUAUGGUUUUCACUUUGCUAGGCCAUCGUAACACUGAGACCAGUACUGACUGCACAACUAAAACCUUUGUGGCUUUUUAAAAACCUUAUGCACCAAUAUAAAAAACAAAAAAGGAAUCCCAAAGCAAAUUCUUCAGACUGUCACUUUCAAAGUGUGCAAACUGAAAAUGUGUACGCCAUAGGUCUCAUAAGGUCAACAAAAAUGACCAUGAUUUGUUACAUUACAGCCAUUAUUUCAUAUACAGGGACAUUAAAUUGCUUGCAUAUAAUGUUCUGAUCACAGAGAGGAUAAAUCACUGUUUGUCUCUGUGCUAUCA